CUCUUGGUUCUGGCAUCGAUGAAGAACGCAGCAAAAUGCGAUAAGUAAUGUGAAUUGCAGAAUUCAGUGAAUCAUCGAAUCUUUGAACGCACAUUGCGCCCGCCAGUAUUCUGGCGGGCAUGCCUGUUCGAGCGUCAUUUCAACCCUCAAGCACAGCUUGGUGUUGGGACUCGCGUUAAUUCGCGUUCCUCAAAUUGAUUGGCGGUCACGUCGAGCUUCCAUAGCGUAGUAGUAAAACCCUCGUUACUGGUAAUCGUCGCGGCCACGCCGUUAAACCCCAACUUCUGAAUGUUGACCUCGGAUCAGGUAGGAAUACCCGCUGAACUUAAGCAUAUCAAUAAGCGGAGGA
rnacentral:rRNA from 1 species